GCAGGUGAGCCGUGCAGCAGGUGCAGGGCCCCGGGCUUCUUUGAGCUGUACCUCGGUGAAAAAGUGUUAAAAUGAACGGAAACUAAUAAUGGAGCAGCUCCCGCUUUGUGACACCGGCCUGAGCUUGUCACCUCACCUGACGCUCUCUCAGUCAGUCCUUGUUUUAGUCCAGGUGUGUGAACUGGAGAAGGAGGCGGGAGAACAGGUGCUAGCUGCUAACCGCUAACUCUAGCUAACAUGCUAGCAGAAGUUAGUUGAGCAGCUGAACAUAAAAGCAGCUGUAACAUUAGGGCAGCUGAAGGUGAACGUGCUGCAGAAUCAGACUGAAGCUGAUGUGUCAGGCUCAUGUGGACCAGGUGAACAGAGAGGGCGGCCCACCUCCUCCACAGGAAGGAAGCUGAAGUGAGUGGGAGGAGCUAAUGGACGGAUGACAUUUAUCGCUCCCUGUGAGCGUCUGUGGAGCAGUGCCUCUGUCGUCCAGCAGGAGGCAGCACAAGUCCACAGAGAGAUGAGACUGUCUGGUGUUUCUCCUCUUGUUCCUGUGUCGUCCAGCAGGAGGCAGUAUGACUCCACACAAACAUCAGCCUCACGAGUUUCUCCGCCUGGGUGGGGUCACUGAGGCACGGCUUUCGCCUCCUUUACACCGAGGUUUCACCGGCGAGUUUUCACCAACGGUUGCAGAGCGAGAGAAUCACUGAG